rnacentral:ribozyme from 1 species
CAAAAAAAAAAAAAAUAAAUAAAAAAAUCUGUAUUCUUUCAUAAUUUUUUGUAAUAUAUACCUCUUCCCUUCGUUUACUUUCUUCCUCACCUUUGUAUCUCCUUUUCUGUAUGAAUGU